GUGAAAGUUCGAGGCUCAACUUCGGAAUUGCCUUAGAAACUGGGUGGCUAGAGUGCAGGAGAGGGCAAUGGAAUUCCAUGUGUAGCGGUAAAAUGCGUAGAUAUUCGGAGGAACACCAGUGGCGAAGGCGGCUUUCUGGACCAAUACUGACGCUCAGAUGCGAAAGCGUGGGUAGCAAACAGGAUUAGAUACCCUGGUAGUCCACGCCGUAAACGAUGGGUACUANGUGUUGCGGGUAACCACUCCUGCAGUGCCGCANCUAACGCAUUAAGUACCCCGCCUGGGGAGUACGG
rnacentral:rRNA from 1 species